AGAGUUUGAUUAUGGCUCAGGGUGAACGCUGGCGGCGUGCUUGACACAUGCAAGUCGAACGGUAUGUGGCAACACAUAGAGUGGCGAACGGGUGAGUAACACGUGGGAACGUACCCUCUGCAGGGGGAUAACUGACCGAAAGGACAGCUAAUACCGCAUAAGACCGAGAGGAGAAAGGUGCAACAGCAUCGGCAGAGGAGCGGCCCGCGGACCAUCAGCUAGUUGGUGGGGUAAGAGCCUACCAAGGCAACGACGGAUAGCCGGCGUGAGAGCGUGGCCGGCCACAAGGACACUGAGAUACGGGUCCUACUCCUACGGGAGGCAGCAGUGCGGAAUUUUAGAUAAUGGAGGCAACUCUGAUCUAGCGACGCCGCGUGCAGGAAGAAGGUCUUCGGAUUGUAAACUGCUGUGGUAAGGGAAAAAUGCCAUGUAGAGCGGAAAGCUACAUGGAGGGAUGGUACUUUACUAGAAAGCCCCGGCUAACUACGUGCCAGCAGCCGCGGUAAUACGUAGGGGGCGAGCGUUACCCGGAAUCACUGGGCGUAAAGGGAGCGUAGGUGGCCUGACAUGUCGACUGUGAAAACCCGGAGCUCAACUCCGGACUUGCAGUUGAAACUGCCAGGCUUGAGGACGGUAGAGGAAGACGGAACUGCCAGUGUAGGGGUAAAAUCCUUAGAUAUUGGCAGGAACGCCGGUGACGAAAGUGGUUUUCUGGGCCGGUUCUGACACUGAUGCUCGAAAGCCAGGGGAGCGAACGGGAUUAGAUACCCUGGUAGUC
rnacentral:rRNA from 1 species